rnacentral:rRNA from 1 species
GAUGAACGCUGGCGGCGUGCCUAAUACAUGCAAGUCGAGCGAACGGACGAGAAGCUUGCUUUUCUGAUGUUAGCGGCGGACGGGUGAGUAACACGUGGAUAACCUACCUAUAAGACUGGGAUAACUUCGGGAAACCGGAGCUAAUAUCGGAUAAUAUUUUGAACCGCAUGGUUCAAAAGUGAAAGACGGUCUUGCUGUCACUUAUAGAUGGAUCCGCGCUGCAUUAGCUAGUUGGUAAGGUAACGGCUUACCAAGGCAACGAUGCAUAGCCGACCUGAGAGGGUGAUCGGCCACACUGGAACUGAGACACGGUCCAGGCUCCUACGGGAGGCAGCAGUAGGGAAUCUUCCGCAAUGGGCGAAAGCCUGACGGAGCAACGCCGCGUGAGUGAUGAAGGUCUUCGGAUCGUAAAACUCUGUUAUUAGGGAAGAACAUAUGUGUAAGUAACUGUGCACAUCUUGACGGUACCUAAUCAGAAAGCCACGGCUAACUACGUG